rnacentral:rRNA from 1 species
UAGCGGCGGACGGGUGAGUAACACGUGGGUAACCUACCUAUAAGACUGGGAUAACUUCGGGAAACCGGAGCUAAUACCGGAUAACAUUUGGAACCGCAUGGUUCUAAAGUGAAAGAUGGUUUUGCUAUCACUUAUAGAUGGACCCGCGCCGUAUUAGCUAGUUGGUAAGGUAACGGCUUACCAAGGCGACGAUACGUAGCCGACCUGAGAGGGUGAUCGGCCACACUGGAACUGAGACACGGUCCAGACUCCUACGGGAGGCAGCAGUAGGGAAUCUUCCGCAAUGGGCGAAAGCCUGACGGAGCAACGCCGCGUGAGUGAUGAAGGGUUUCGGCUCGUAAAACUCUGUUAUUAGGGAAGAACAAAUGUGUAAGUAACUGUGCACGUCUUGACGGUACCUAAUCAGAAAGCCACGGCUAACUACGUGCCAGCAGCCGCGGUAAUACGUAGGUGGCAAGCGUUAUCCGGAAUUAUUGGGCGUAAAGCGCGCGUAGGCGGUUUCUUAAGUCUGAUGUGAAAGCCCACGGCUCAACCGUGGAGGGUCAUUGGAAACUGGGAAACUUGAGUGCAGAAGAGGAAAGUGGAAUUCCAUGUGUAGCGGUGAAAUGCGCAGAGAUAUGGAGGAACACCAGUGGCGAAGGCGACUUUCUGGUCUGUAACUGACGCUGAUGUGCGAAAGCGUGGGGAUCAAACAGGAUUAGAUACCCUGGUAGUCCACGCCGUAAACGAUGAGUGCUAAGUGUUAGGGGGUUUCCGCCCCUUAGUGCUGCAGCUAACGCAUUAAGCACUCCGCCUGGGGAGUACGACCGCAAGGUUGAAACUCAAAGGAAUUGACGGGGACCCGCACAAGCGGUGGAGCAUGUGGUUUAAUUCGAAGCAACGCGAAGAACCUUACCAAAUCUUGACAUCCUUUGAAAACUCUAGAGAUAGAGCCUUCCCCUUCGGGGGACAAAGUGACAGGUGGUGCAUGGUUGUCGUCAGCUCGUGUCGUGAGAUGUUGGGUUAAGUCCCGCAACGAGCGCAACCCUUAAGCUUAGUUGCCAUCAUUAAGUUGGGCACUCUAGGUUGACUGCCGGUGACAAACCGGAGGAAGGUGGGGAUGACGUCAAAUCAUCAUGCCCCUUAUGAUUUGGGCUACACACGUGCUACAAUGGACAAUACAAAGGGCAGCUAAACCGCGAGGUCAUGCAAAUCCCAUAAAGUUGUUCUCAGUUCGGAUUGUAGUCUGCAACUCGACUACAUGAAGCUGG